GGAAUAUAAGAAUCCGUCUCUUAACUUUUAACUAAAAAAGCUAAGAACCGGUUCUUAAAUAAGAUAUUUAAGAACCGGUUCAUAGCUUUUUUAGUUAAAAGUUAAGAGACGAAUUCUUAUGUUCC
rfam:Brassica oleracea var. oleracea cultivar TO1000 chromosome C8, whole genome shotgun sequence